rnacentral:lncRNA from 7 species
AGUUCGGUUGCUGCAAAGAUCAGAGAAUCACAGAAUCAUAGGGGACAGAAGGGACCUCUGGAGAUCAUCUAGUCCACCUUCCUGCUAGAGCAGAAUCCCUACAAUGUCAAAAGGUGUCCUUCCCUCACUGUUUGAAGCUACUUGCUGUAGGAUGGGAAAGAAAGUGCUCUGCCCCUCAUCAGCAUCAAAAGCACAUGGUCACAGCUCAUGGAAAGCAUACCAGGUGGUUUACUUGACUGAUGGAAGCAACUUUUGUGGAAAUAAGAAGCUGGGUGAAAGAGAUACGAUUCCAUGACUGAAGAAGAGACUUUAAUAUGAAAUGAUGCUUUGUUGUGCACCAGAAAAUCAACAUGAAAGGGAGAAUUAUGAAACCUGGCAGUUUGCAGCCAACCCAAUGCACAAAGAAAACCACAUAUAGUUCAAUCCUGGUCCACCUGCUUCUGUUUUCUCCGUGUGGCAUUGUACAACUGCUAUAUACAGAAGCAAAUCUUGGCAGUAUUUGUGAAGUGUCCUAGAAGAAUCAUACGAUUCUGCUUGAUGGUUUCUCCUGACAGAGUAGAACCAGAAAUCAUUUGCCCUUUUCUAAACAGGAAAGGUCAAAAGUGAAUGACAUUAUAGUGCUCUCAUGAUUUCGUGUCCAGGUCUGUAUUGCCCUGAGGAAUUAUUAUAGAUAACAUUUAUGAGCGUGUAUCUGUAUCUAUGUGCAUGUGUGGAUAAUGCAUGUAUGAAUUUAGCAGAGUUUAAAAGGAGUUGCUGUUGAAAUAGUCUUUUCUUGAGCACCUUUUAAGCCUUCAGGUCUCACCAAACAGUUAAUAUGUGGGUUUGAAAAAUGUACUAAAAAAGCAUCUUUGUAGACAUAAAUGCUUUAAAGAUUUGCUCACUGAAGGCUUUUGAAAUGGCUGGUCUGCAGAGCACUUGUUCAUGUCCUUAGGACAGCUGGCUGAUGGUGUUGUGCAGGCACAGCUUCAGACACUGAGUUUACAGAAUAGUAUCUCAAGUGGUUCUGCAGGCUAGAUGUGGAUCUUAUGUGAUCUGCAGAUGAAGGUGGUGAGCUCUGUUGGGGUACAGUCCCUGUGAUAAAAACAUUUGAGUACCUCCAUCCUAAUAUUAAAUAAGGACAAUCCCCUAGCCUCAGUGAAAGUACAGCCUUCCAAGGGUUUUUCCUUAAUAAAAAAGCAACAGAUCAAACCUAAAUAAGCCAUUAAUUUUGUGUGAUUUUUACUUGCACUUUUUCAUGUCUACUCUCAGGACUGUUUGUGUUUUGUUAUUAUUAUUCAAUAGACAUACUUCAUUUUCUUCAGAGGUGUGGCAUGAUAUCAUUGUGGUCUAAUAAAUGAAAUCAUUUUGAAUAGAUUUUCAUCAACAUAAUUUGUGCAGUUUGUUUUGUGCAAAUAAAAUUCCAAGAUGCU